UUGAUCAUGGCUCAGGACGAACGCUGGCGGCGUGCUUAACACAUGCAAGUCGAGCGGAAAGGCCCUUCGGGGUACUCGAGCGGCGAACGGGUGAGUAACACGUGAGCAACCUGCCCCAAGCUUUGGGAUAACCCUCGGAAACGGGGGCUAAUACCGAAUAGUACUUCUGGCCGCAUGGCUGGUGGUGGAAAGUUUUUCGGCUUGGGAUGGGCUCGCGGCCUAUCAGCUUGUUGGUGGGGUGAUGGCCUACCAAGGCGACGACGGGUAGCCGGCCUGAGAGGGCGACCGGCCACACUGGGACUGAGACACGGCCCAGACUCCUACGGGAGGCAGCAGUGGGGAAUAUUGCACAAUGGGCGGAAGCCUGAUGCAGCGACGCCGCGUGAGGGAUGACGGCCUUCG
rnacentral:rRNA from 1 species